GACAGAGGGGGCAAGCGUUGCUCGGAAUCACUGGGCGUAAAGGGCGCGUAGGCGGGAUGGCAAGUCAGUCGUGAAAUCUCUCGGCUCAACCGAGAAACGUCGGCUGAUACUGCCGUUCUUGAGGGAUGCAGAGGAGACUGGAAUUCCCGGUGUAGCGGUGAAAUGUGUAGAGAUCGGGAGGAACAUCAGUGGCGAAGGCGGCCUUCUGGUCCAGUACUGACACUCAAGUGCGAAAGCGUGGGGAGCAAACAGG
rnacentral:rRNA from 1 species